rnacentral:rRNA from 1 species
GUGCACGCUGGCGGUAGGCCUAACACCUGCAAGUCGCACGGCAGCACAGUAAGAGCUUGCUCUUACGGGUGGCGAGUGGCGGACGGGUGAGGAAUACAUCGGAAUCUACUUUUUCGUGGGGGAUAACGUAGGGAAACUUACGCUAAUACCGCAUACGACCUACGGGUGAAAGCAGGGGAUCUUCGGACCUUGCGCGAUUGAAUGAGCCGAUGUCGGAUUAGCUAGUUGGCGGGGUAAAGGCCCACCAAGGCGACGAUCCGUAGCUGGUCUGAGAGGAUGAUCAGCCACACUGGAACUGAGACACGGUCCAGACUCCUACGGGAGGCAGCAGUGGGGAAUAUUGGACAAUGGGCGCAAGCCUGAUCCAGCCAUGCCGCGUGGGUGAAGAAGGCCUUCGGGUUGUAAAGCCCUUUUGUUGGGAAAGAAAAGCAGCAGGUUAAUACCCCGCUGUUCUGACGGUACCCAAAGAAUAAGCACCGGCUAACUUCGUG